GAUGAACGCUGGCGGCGUGCCUAAUACAUGCAAGUCGAGCGAACAGACGAUGAGCUUGCUCCUCUGACGUUAGCGGCGGACGGGUGAGUAACACGUGGAUAACCUACCUAUAAGACUGGGAUAACUUCGGGAAACCGGAGCUAAUACCGGAGAAUAUAUUGAACCGCAUGGUUCAAUAGUGAAAGACGGUUGUGCUGUCACUUAUAGAUGGAUCCGCGCCGCAUGAGCUGGUUGGUAAGGUAACGGCUUACCAAGGCAACGAUGCGUAGCCGACCUGAGAGGGUGGUCGCCCACCCGGGAACGGAGACGCGCUCAAGAGGCCUACGGGAGGCCGCAGUAGGGAACGUGACGCAGUGGGCGAAAGCCUGACGGAGCAGCGGCGAGUGAGUGAUGAAGGUCUUCGGAUCGUAAAACUCUGUUAUUAGGGAAGAACAAAUGUGUAAGUAACUAUGGCCGGCGUGACGGUAACUAAUAAGAAAGCAACGGCUAACUACGUG
rnacentral:rRNA from 1 species